rnacentral:rRNA from 2 species
AAACUAACAAGGAUUCCCCUAGUAACGGCGAGUGAAGCGGGAAGAGCUCAAAUUUGUAAUCUGGGCAGCCUUCGGCUGUCCGAGUUGUAAUCUAUAGAGACGUUUUCCGUGCCGGCCCAUGUACAAGUCCCUUGGAACAGGGCGUCAUAGAGGGUGAGAAUCCCGUUCUUGACAUGGACUCCCGGUGCUCUGUGAUACGUUUUCAAAGAGUCGAGUUGUUUGGGAAUGCAGCUCAAAAUGGGUGGUGAAUUCCAUCUAAAGCUAAAUAUUGGCGAGAGACCGAUAGCGAACAAGUACCGUGAGGGAAAGAUGAAAAGCACUUUUGGAAAGAGAGUUAAACAGUAUGUGAAAUUGUUAAAAGGGAAACGAUUGAAGUCAAUCAUGUCCUUGAGGGGCAACCCUCUUGGAUGGGGUCAACAUCAGUUUUGACCGCCGGAUAAGGGCAAGAGCAAGGUAGCACUCUCGGGUGAACUUAUAGGCUCUUGUCGCAUACGGUGGUGGAGACUGAGGACUGCUAUUACAGGAUGUUGACAUAAUGGCUUUAAACGACCCGUCUUGAAACACGGACCAAGGAGUCUAACAUAUCUGCGAGUAUUUGGGGUGUCAAACCCGAGUGCGCAA